CAGGGAGACAACAAAAUGUUUAAUAUUAUUAUUUUGUCACCUUAGGUCGAUCGGUAUCUCACAUUCUUAAUUUAUUAAGGAUUUUAUUUCCUAAGUUUUUUCUAGGUCACACCCAUUACUUUUCCUGGGCCAUUAGCUCAGGUGGUUAGAGCGCACCCCUGAUAAGGGUGAGGUCCCUGGUUCAAGUCCAGGAUGGCCCAUAUCUCUAUGUUGGGGGUAUAGCUCAGUUGGUAGAGCGCCUGCUUUGCAAGCAGGAUGUCAGCGGUUCGAGUCCGCUUACCUCCACUGAUUACCACCUCUUCCAUAAUUAUUAAAGAAAUGUUUUGAGUAGUGAUCAAAUUCUGAACGAAUCUAGCUUCCUAAUGAAUUCAUUAAGAUGCUGGACUCAUUGAAUUAUUUUCAUUGUUUUCAGAGAACCUUGCCAACUGCAUAGAUUAUUUUUAAAGACAAUAAGCAUNUUUAUGAUGCAGAUUUAUUAUUUUGUGCGAAUGCAUUAAUAAACAAUUCUAUUAAGCUGAUGCUUCAAUUAUGAAGUUAUUG
rnacentral:tRNA from 1 species